rnacentral:rRNA from 1 species
UUGGGAAUCUUGCACAAUGGGGGAAACCCUGAUGCAGCGACGCCGCGUGGAGGAUGAAGGGUCUAGGCCUGUAAACUCCUUUUAUCGGGAAAGACUUAGGACGGUACCCGAUGAAUAAGGACCGGCUAACUACGUGCCAGCAGCCGCGGUGAGACGUAGGGUCCAAGCGUUGUCCGGAUUUACUGGCGUAAAGAGCGCGUAGGCGGCUCGUUAAGUGUGAAGUGAAAUCUCUAGAGCUCAACUCAGAAAUUGCUUUACAUACUGGCGAGCUAGAGGGAUGCAGAGGUUUGUGGAAUUCCUGGUGUAGCGGUGAAAUGCGUAGAUAUCAGGAGGAACACCCAUGGCGAAGGCAGCAAACUGGGCAUCAUCUGACGCUGAGGCGCGAAAGCGUGGGUAGCAAACAGGAUUAGAUACCCCAGUAGUCC